rnacentral:sRNA from 1 species
AGAUUGCCUUUUGAAAUGAACCUCCUCGAUGUUUCCUCAGAUACUUUACCCUCAACCUGUGUGAAACUAGACUCAUCAUCUUCCCUGCAUAUUGAAUUUGAGAUUCCACUGUGUAAAGUAAUUAGAUUCAACAUAGACUACACGAUUCAUUUCAUUGAAGAGAUGAUGCCGGAGAAUUUUUGUGUGAAAGGGCUUGAACUCUUUUCACUGUUCCUAUUCAGAGAUAUUUUGGAAUUAUAUGACUGGAAUCUUAAAGGUCCUUUGUUUGAAGACAGUCCUCCCUGCUGCCCAAGAUUUCAUUUCAUGCCACGUUUUGUAAGAUUUCUUCCAGAUGGAGGAAAGGAAGUGCUGUCCAUGCACCAGAUUCUCCUGUAUUUGUUAAGGUGCAGCAAAGCCCUGGUGCCCGAGGAGGAGAUUGCCAAUAUGCUUCAGUGGGA